GACGAACGCUGGCGGCGUGCCUAAUACAUGCAAGUAGAACGCUGAAGGAGGAGCUUGCUUCUCUGGAUGAGUUGCGAACGGGUGAGUAACGCGUAGGUAACCUGCCUGGUAGCGGGGGAUAACUAUUGGAAACGAUAGCUAAUACCGCAUAAGAGUAGAUGUUGCAUGACAUUUGCUUAAAAGGUGCAAUUGCAUCACUACCAGAUGGACCUGCGUUGUAUUAGCUAGUUGGUGGGGUAACGGCUCACCAAGGCGACGAUACAUAGCCGACCUGAGAGGGUGAACGGCCACACUGGGACUGAGACACGGCCCAGACUCCUACGGGAGGCAGCAGUAGGGAAUCUUCGGCAAUGGACGGAAGUCUGACCGAGCAACGCCGCGUGAGUGAAGAAGGUUUUCGGAUCGUAAAGCUCUGUUGUAAGAGAAGAACGAGUGUGAGAGUGGAAAGUUCACACUGUGACGGUAUCUUACCAGAAAGGGACGGCUAACUACGUG
rnacentral:rRNA from 1 species